CCUAUGGGUGGCAGCAGUGGGGGAUAUUGCACAAUGGGGGGAACCCUGACGCAGCGACGCCGCGUGGAUGAAGAAGCUCUUCGGCGCGUAAAGCCCUGUCAGCAGGGAAGAAAAUUACGGUUACUGAAGAAGAACCCCCGGCCAACGACGGGCCAACCGCCCCGGUAAUACGUAGGGGGGAAACGUUAUCCGGAUUUACUGGGUGGAAAGGGGGCGGAGACGGCGAGGCAAGCCAGGAGUGAAAGCCCGGGGCCCAACCCCGGGACUGCCCUUGGAACUGCGUGGCUGGAGUGCAGGAGGGGCAGGCGGAAUUCCUGGUGUAGCGGUGAAAUGCGUAGAUAUCAGGAGGAACACCAGUGGCGAAGGCGGCCUGCUGGACUGCAACUGACGUUGAGGCCCGAAAGCGUGGGGAGCAAACAGGAUUAGAUACCCGAGUAGUC
rnacentral:rRNA from 1 species